rnacentral:misc_RNA from 1 species
AAAUAAAAUUUAAAACUUUUAAUGAGUUUAAAAACACAAAUUGACGGCCUUUGCAACUUAAUGCAAGUCCAGCACAAAGCACUGCACGGGCCGCCAAUAUACAAUUACAGGUGCACAAAUUGGUUCCUUUUUUUCUUUUUCACAAACUUAGACAGUUUGCGAAAGAAAAAAGAAAUUGGUAAUGAUCCAACCGCAGGUUCACCUACGGUUACCUUGUUACGACUUUUACUUCCUCUA